GAGCAGUGACGACUCACAAAAUUGUGAGGUUGGGUUCUUCACAACCGUCUGAUUAAAUGAGAAAACUCAGUGAAUCUGAGCUC